GCAAGUCGAACGGCAGCACGGGGGCAACCCUGGGUGGCGAGUGGCGAACGGGUGAGUAAUACAUCGGAACGUGCCCAGUCGUGGGGGAUAACGUAGCGAAAGUUACGCUAAUACCGCAUACGAUCUACGGAUGAAAGCGGGGGACCGUAAGGCCUCGCGCGAUUGGAGCGGCCGAUGUCAGAUUAGGUAGUUGGUGAGGUAAAGGCUCACCAAGCCGACGAUCUGUAGCUGGUCUGAGAGGACGACCAGCCACACUGGGACUGAGACACGGCCCAGACUCCUACGGGAGGCAGCAGUGGGGAAUUUUGGACAAUGGGGGCAACCCUGAUCCAGCAAUGCCGCGUGUGUGAAGAAGGCCUUCGGGUUGUAAAGCACUUUUGUCAGGAACGAAACGGUGGAGGCUAAUACCUUCUGCUAAUGACGGUACCUGAAGAAUAAGCACCGGCUAACUACGUGCCAGCAGCCGCGGUAAUACGUAGGGUGCGAGCGUUAAUCGGAAUUACUGGGCGUAAAGCGUGCGCAGGCGGUUGUGCAAGACAGAUGUGAAAUCCCCGGACUCAACCUGGGAAUUGCAUUUGUGACUGCACGGCUAGAGUGUGUCAGAGGGGGGUAGAAUUCCACGUGUAGCAGUGAAAUGCGUAGAUAUGUGGAGGAAUACCGAUGGCGAAGGCAGCCCCCUGGGAUAACACUGACGCUCAUGCACGAAAGCGUGGGGAGCAAACAGGAUUAGAUACCCUGGUAGUCCACGCCCUAAACGAUGUCUACUAGUUGUCGGGUCUUAAUUGACUUGGUAACGCAGCUAACGCGUGAAGUAGACCGCCUGGGGAGUACGGUCGCAAGAUUAAAACUCAAAGGAAUUGACGGGGACCCGCACAAGCGGUGGAUGAUGUGGAUUAAUUCGAUGCAACGCGAAAAACCUUACCUACCCUUGACAUGUACGGAACCCUGCU
rnacentral:rRNA from 1 species